rnacentral:tRNA from 1 species
AGGCGAGUGGCUCAAUUGGCAGAGCAUCGGUCUCCAAAACCGAGGGUUGUAGGUUCGAUUCCUACCUCGCCUG